UAACUAGCGACAUUCUCGGGGACAUAUC
rnacentral:piRNA from 1 species